rnacentral:rRNA from 1 species
GUCCACGCCGUAACGAUGUCGACUAGCCGUUGGUCCUAUUUACAGGAUUAGUGGCGCAGCUAACGCAUUAAGUCGACCGCCUGGGAGUACGGCCGCAAGGUUAAACUCAAAUGAAUUGACGGGCCCGCACAAGCGGUGGAGCAUGUGGUUUAAUUCGAUGCAACGCGAAGAACCUUACCUACCCUUGACAUCCAGAGAAUCUGUUAGAGAUAGUAGAGUGCCUUCGGGAGCUCUGAGACAGGUGCUGCAUGGCUGUCGU